AGAGUUUGAUCCUGGCUCAGGAUGAACGCUGGCGGCGUGCCUAACACAUGCAAGUCGAGCGAGAAGUUUAUGAAUGAUCCUUCGGGUGAAUGAUUAAAUGGAAAGCGGCGGACGGGUGAGUAACGCGUGAGUAACCUACCCUAUACACAAGGAUAGCCAUUGGAAACGAUGAUUAAUACUUGAUAAGACUACAGAGCCGCAUGGCUCAGUGGUAAAAGCUCCGGCGGUAUAGGAUGGACUCGCGUCUGAUUAGCUAGUUGGUAAGGUAAUGGCUUACCAAGGCGACGAUCAGUAGCCGACCUGAGAGGGUGAUCGGCCACACUGGAACUGAGACACGGUCCAGACUCCUACGGGAGGCAGCAGUGGGGAAUAUUGCACAAUGAGCGAAAGCUUGAUGCAGCAACGCCGCGUGAGUGAUGAAGGCUUUCGGGUCGUAAAACUCUGUCCUCAAGGAAGAUAAUGACGGUACUUGAGGAGGAAGCCCCGGCUAACUACGUGCCAGCAGCCCGCGGUAAUACGUAGGGGGCAAGCGUUAUCCGGAAUCACCUGGGCGUAAAGGGUGCGUANGCNGNUUAUUCAAGUCAGAAGUGAAAGGCUAUGGCUCAACCAUAGUGAGCU
rnacentral:rRNA from 1 species